rnacentral:rRNA from 1 species
AGUGAACGCUGGCGGUAGGCCUAACACAUGCAAGUCGAACGGCAGCACAGUAAGAGCUUGCUCUUACGGGUGGCGAGUGGCGGACGGGUGAGGAAUACAUCGGAAUCUACUUUUUCGUGGGGGAUAACGUAGGGAAACUUACGCUAAUACCGCAUACGACCUACGGGUGAAAGCAGGGGAUCUUCGGACCUUGCGCGAUUGAAUGAGCCGAUGUCGGAUUAGCUAGUUGGCGGGGUAAAGGCCCACCAAGGCGACGAUCCGUAGCUGGUCUGAGAGGAUGAUCAGCCACGCUGGAACUGAGACACGGUCCAGACUCCUACGGGAGGCAGCAGUGGGGAAUAUUGGACAAUGGGCGCAAGCCUGAUCCAGCCAUACCGCGUGGGUGAAGAAGGCCUUCGGGUUGUAAAGCCCUUUUGUUGGGAAAGAAAAGCAGCAGGUUAAUACCCCGCUGUUCUGACGGUACCCAAAGAAUAAGCACCGACUAACUUCGUG